CCUACGGGAGGCAGCAGUGAGGAAUAUUGGUCAAUGGGCGCGAGCCUGAACCAGCCAAGUAGCGUGAAGGAUGACUGCCCUCCGGGUUGUAAACUUCUUUUAUAAAGGAAUAAAGUGAGGCACGUGUGCCUUUUUGUAUGUACUUUAUGAAUAAGGAUCGGCUAACACCGUGACAGCAGCCGCGGGAAUAUGGUGGAUCCGAGCGUUACCCGGAUUUAUUGGGUUUAAAGGGAGCGUAGAUGGGUUGUUAAGUCAGUUGUGAAAGUAUGCGGCUCAACCGUAAGAUUGCAAUUGAUACUGGCAGUCUUGAGUACAGUUGAGGUAGGCGGAAUUCGUGGUGUAGCGGUGAAAUGCUUAGAUAUCACGAAGAACUCCGAUUGCGAAGGCAGCUUACUAGACUGCAACUGACAUUGAGGCUCGAAAGUGUGGGUAUCAAACAGGAUUAGAUACCCUUGUAGUC
rnacentral:rRNA from 1 species